ACGAAGGUGGCAAGCGUUGUUCGGAUUUACUGGGCGUAAAGGGAGCGUAGGCGGUUAGGUAAGCCCUUUGGGAAAUCUCCCGGCUUAACCGUGAAAGGUCAGAGGGGACUGCCUAGCUAGAGGAUGGGAGAGGAGCGCGGAAUUCCCGGUGUAGCGGUGAAAUGCGUAGAGAUCGGGAGGAAGGCCGGUGGCGAAGGCGGCGCUCUGGAACGUUCCUGACGCUGAGGCUCGAAAGCGUGGGGAGCAAACAGGA
rnacentral:rRNA from 1 species